rnacentral:rRNA from 1 species
UACGGGGGGAGCAAGCGUUGUUCGGAUUUACUGGGCGUAAAGGGCGCGUAGGCGGCCACCGCAAGUCGGUUGUGAAAUCUCUGGGCUUAACCCAGAAAGGUCAACCGAUACUGCGGGGCUAGAGUGCAGAAGGGGCAACUGGAAUUCUCGGUGUAGCGGUGAAAUGCGCAGAUAUCAGGAAGAACACCCGUGGCGAAAGCGGCUCUCUGGAACGGUACUGACGCUGAGACGCGAAAGCGUGGGGAGCGAACAGG